UUAAACGCUGGUACUCUAGUAACAAAAAUGUUCCUGAGUUAUGUGACCUGCUCUAGCAAAUUAAUGGAGCCUAAGGAGGUGUCGUGAGAAUCUCUGGUUUGUAGCCAGAUGGUCAGAAGUACAGGAGGUUGGUUCACUGAAUAUAAGGAAAGAAUGAGAAGCUAAGAAGAAAGCGAAGUAAUAAAAGGCCAAAUCUUCAAUCCCUUUGUGAUUGUCAUCUGUACUAGCUAAACAAAGAGAGAAUGCGGCUCGGGCUCUGGUGCUAGCCCAAGCUCAGAUUUCAGUCUAAGCUUCAGCCCCCGGCCUCAAAGCCGCCCCCAAGCGUGACCCAGAAGGCGUGGAAGCCUGCCCUUCAAAGCAAUGUUAAUUGGACAUGCUCAAUGGGAAUCAGUAAGAUUGCCGGAGCCCAUGGUGCAGAACGGGAGCUGGAGCGUGUAAGAGAUUUCAGAAUACAGCGAGCCAGCCUAGAUAAGAGUCUCUUUUAAAAAUAGGGUCAGGAGGCCAUCAGGGAGGAGGAAUUUAUGCACAUACUCAUUGAAGAAGCCAUGAACUUUUUUUUGAACUUUUCAGCCUGGGCUUAACUUUUCACCCUGGGCCCCCUCCUGCCCCUGUCCCCCAGUCAUCCCCAACUUCACUUUGAAAGGAGCCAAAAUGAUUUAACAAUUGUCAAUCCCUCCUGUGCGUAUGAACCCAACGAAUCCCAGUUAACCUAGUUUCGGGCCCCAUUUUCCCUGGGGGACCUGAAAGAGAGCUACACGUAAGGCUUUUGCCCCUCUCUUUGUUUUCCUUGGAACAUAACUUAGAUUUCUACCUGAAUCUGUGUCUCCCGAAUCGCAAGU